GAGCUCCCCGCCAGACCCCGUUGCAGGGAGCGCGAGCAGAGCGGGGCGAACCGGCCUGCGCCGCGCUCCCCAGGCCGCUUGCGCCCCACGACUGACCGAACGCAGGGUCGGGCGCCGGCCGCGCGCCGCGCCCCCGGGCUUCGGAGGGCGCGCCAGCCCCGCGCAGGGUUGCCGUGAACUUGGAGCCCGGCGGCGCGAGGCUCCUGCCCGGGAUGGGGCGGCAGCUGCUUCCUGGUUUGAAGCUCACCGAGUGGGGGAGAGCGUGAGCCCGCGGAGGCGGGGGCAGGAGCAGAAGCGGGAGGAGGCGGGGGCAGCAGACGCUGGAGGCUCGAGCUAAGCGGACGGGUCGCUCCGGCUCUCCGGGGAGAGGCGCUUCCCGGCCCUGGAGAAGGGGCGAGUCCCCCGCGAGCCCCCGGGAGGAGCCGCGCGCUCGAGAGGGACGGUCGGGCGCCCCCGGCCCUCUGAGGGCUUGGCGCCCAGCUCCCCUCCUUUCCACCUCGCGAGGGAGGGAGAGAGGGAGGGAAGGAGGGGAGGGAAGGUCCGGCGGGGGACGCAGAAUGGCUGGUCGAGGGGGGCUUGGGCUCCGCUUUUCCCGGGAGCUGCCUCCACUCCUGCGGCCGCCGCGAGGGCUGGCCUGAACGAGGGCUCCCCGCUCUCCCGCUGCGAGACCGCGCGGUCCCUGGGCUGGGACAGCGGCCCCGGCAUGUCGUCCGGUACCAUGAAGUUCAACGGCUACUUGAGGGUCCGCAUUGGCGAGGCCGUGGGGCUGCAGCCCACCCGCUGGUCCCUGCGCCACUCGCUCUUCAAGAAGGGCUAUCAGCUGCUGGACCCCUACCUGACGGUGAGCGUGGACCAGGUACGCGUGGGCCAGACGAGCACCAAGCAGAAGACCAACAAACCCACGUACAACGAGGAAUUCUGCGCCAACGUCACCGACGGUGGCCACCUCGAGCUGGCUGUCUUCCACGAGACGCCCCUGGGCUACGACCACUUUGUGGCCAACUGCACCCUGCAGUUCCAGGAGCUGCUGCGUACGGCCGGCGCCUCGGACACCUUCGAGGGCUGGGUGGAUCUGGAGCCAGAAGGGAAAGUAUUUGUUGUAAUAACCCUAACAGGAAGUUUCACUGAAGCUACUCUCCAGAGAGACCGCAUCUUCAAACAUUUUACCAGGAAGCGCCAAAGGGCUAUGCGAAGGCGAGUCCACCAGAUCAACGGACAUAAGUUCAUGGCCACAUACCUGAGGCAGCCCACCUACUGCUCUCACUGCAGGGAGUUUAUCUGGGGUGUAUUUGGGAAACAGGGUUAUCAAUGCCAAGUGUGCACCUGUGUCGUCCACAAGCGCUGCCAUCAUCUAAUUGUUACAGCCUGCACCUGCCAAAACAAUAUUAACAAAGUGGAUUCAAAGAUUGCCGAGCAGAGGUUCGGAAUCAACAUCCCACACAAGUUCAGCGUCCACAACUACAAGGUGCCGACGUUCUGCGAUCACUGUGGCUCUCUGCUCUGGGGGAUAAUGCGACAAGGACUUCAGUGUAAAAUAUGUAAAAUGAAUGUACACAUUCGAUGUCAGGCGAACGUGGCCCCAAACUGCGGAGUGAAUGCAGCGGAGCUGGCCAAGACUCUGGCAGGAAUGGGCCUCCAACCCGGAAGUAUUUCUCCCACCUCGAAUCUUGUUUCCAGAUCAACCCUAAGACGACAAGGAAAGGAGAGCAUCAAAGAAGGAAAUGGCAUUGGGGUUAAUUCUUCCAGUCGACUUGGGAUCAACAACUUUGAGUUCAUCCGAGUACUGGGGAAGGGAAGCUUUGGGAAGGUGAUGCUUGCAAGAAUAAAAGAAACAGGAGACCUCUAUGCCGUGAAGGUGCUAAAGAAGGACGUGAUCCUGCAAGAUGAUGAUGUGGAGUGCACCAUGACAGAGAAAAGGAUCCUGUCUUUGGCCCGCAAUCACCCCUUCCUCACUCAGUUGUUUUGCUGCUUUCAGACCCCUGAUCGUCUGUUUUUUGUGAUGGAGUUUGUGAACGGGGGCGACUUGAUGUUUCAUAUUCAGAAGUCACGUCGUUUUGAUGAGGCACGAGCCCGUUUCUAUGCUGCAGAAAUCAUUUCGGCGCUUAUGUUCCUACACGACAAAGGAAUCAUCUACAGAGAUCUGAAACUGGACAACGUACUUUUGGACCACGAGGGUCACUGUAAACUGGCAGACUUUGGAAUGUGCAAGGAGGGGAUCUGUAACGGGGUCACCACGGCCACCUUCUGCGGCACACCCGACUACAUUGCUCCAGAGAUCCUCCAGGAGAUGCUCUACGGGCCCGCAGUGGAUUGGUGGGCAAUGGGUGUGCUGCUCUACGAGAUGCUCUGUGGCCACGCGCCCUUUGAGGCAGAGAACGAAGAUGACCUCUUUGAAGCCAUACUGAACGAUGAAGUGGUCUACCCUACAUGGCUGCAUGAAGAUGCCACAGGGAUCCUGAAAUCUAAGCAUGAGCCACUGGAGGAAGCUACCAGGGUCCUGUGUACUUAAUACCCACAGAGCAAGAAUCUGCCACCUAUUUAACUUUCCAUAAAAUUCUUUUCCAUUAUAGGUUUUUACAAGAUAUUGACUAUAAUUCCUUGUGCUAUACAGUAGGUCCUGUUAUUUUUCUAUUUUAUAUACAGUAGUGUGUAUCUGUUAAUCCCAAACUCCCAAUUUACCUCUCCCCACUCCCCAACCCCCAAGUUGAGUACCUCAGUGCACCCCAAAGAAAGAUUUUUAACAAAUAAACAGAGAAGGAGAAAGCACCCGUUGGUGAGCCCUGCCCAUGCUGCUGCCCUUUGCCUCUGUGUGCGAUCCUUCCCCACCAGAGAGGCAGGAAGGCCAAGAUCCCCGAGCCAGCCCUUCACAUCCGUUCUCACCACCGAAUCAGCAUGGCGGGUCAUCUCUACUUGGCUUCCUGAGAUUUCCUGAUGAUCCUUUCUUUGGAACGUAAGUUCAUGACCAAGAACCCCACUAUGCGCUUGGGCAGCCCGAGUCAGGGUGGCGAGCAUGCCAUCUUGAGACAUCCUUUCUUUAAGGAAAUCGACUGGACCCAGCUGAACCAUCGCCAGGUAGAACCACCUUUC